UUUGCAUGUGAAUGUGAUUAAAUUAAAUUUCUAGCUGUGUUAAGGUCAAGCAACCAUCAUCACAAGCAAACAAAAACAAUAAACAACUUUCCUAAUUACAACACAUGAAGCAUAUGAUUUGAGCGCUUAAUCUUUUCCAAUAAACAAUAAACAACUUUCCUAAUCACAACACAUCAAAUCUAUCUUGAUCUUUUCCAAUUCUCAACAAAUCAGCAAAGUAAUCCUGGAAGCUAAAUACAUGCCAUGGUUAAAUAUUGGAAAUAAAUUUUGGAAGUCUGCACUGUCAUACUGUCAUAUCGGAAAAUCAUUUUCCAUUACCAUAUCGGAAAAUCAUUUUCCAUUAUCAUAUCGGAAAUUGAUUUUUCCAUUACCGUUUUUAAUCAACUGGUUUUCUGGUAAUUUCGCCCCCCAAGGUGGGGCGGGGGGCCUAAUGGGUGGGGUGUUAAACCCAAAUCCCGUUUAUUAGCAAUCUUUCUUCUUCUGAAUUGGCCUCAGCCCCUUCUGCUCAUACUGUUGUCGUGCGUUACAGGCUGUGGUUCAGCGCCGCGACGAACCCAUUCGAAUUAGGUGUCUCUUUCUGCGCCUCUUUGUGAAAUUUCUAGGUUUUUCAAUUUUCAACAAGACGAUCAGAGCCUUUGAAUUCAAGUUCUCUAGAAAUAGCUGAUGUGAGGAUGCAGAGUCUUGGCUGCAAGACGAUGUUCGUGUUCGACCACGGAGCCUCCUAUGACAGCAUUCAGAAUUGGACAGCCCACAGGUUGUAAGGGCAAAGAAGGAGGACACAAGAACUGUAUAUGCAUUGAAAAUCAUGUACAAAAAUAUUAUUACCAAAGAGAACAAAAGAGCUCAUGUGAAGUUGGAACACGUAGUGAAGUUGGAAUGUAUGUACAUCUACUGAACGUACUAUGUACACAUUGGAGGAUGAUUUUUUAUCAUGCACCAAUGGAAAACCAUAGAGGAACCUAAGGAUUGUAAUGAGGUAUGCACAA